rnacentral:rRNA from 1 species
AUGUACGUUCCUGCAAUGUUAAUACACCAGAUCCCAUCGAAACUCCAUAGUUAAGCAUGCUUGGGCUAGAGUAGUACUGGGAUGGGUGACCUCUCGGGAAGUCCUAGUGUUUUACAUG